rnacentral:rRNA from 1 species
UACAGAGGUCUCAAGCGUUGUUCGGAUUCAUUGGGCGUAAAGGGUGUGUAGGUGGCGCGCUAAGUCGGGUGUGAAAUUUCGGAGCUUAACUCCGAAACUGCAUUCGAUACUGCGGUGCUUGAGGACUGGAGAGGAGACUGGAAUUUAUGGUGUAGCAGUGAAAUGCGUAGAGAUCAUAAGGAAGACCAGUGGCGAAGGCGGGUCUCUGGACAGUUCCUGACGCUGAGGCACGAAGGUCAGGGGAGCAAACGGG